UCAUUCUUUAGUGCAAGCAGACAAAAAAUCCCACUUUCCAUUGUCCCUUGAGAUCUGAAUGAGAUCAUCUACAAUUAACUGUCCACAAUCAUCCCAACGUCUCUCUUACUAUUAGCCCUUUUCAACUUUAUCUUUUAUAUUUAAUCUGAAUUGUGAUUCAGAUUCAUUCUUUCAUAUAUGAAGGGACUGAAUCUUUCAGAAAGCCAUAUUUGUCAUCUAACUUUGCUAUGGUUUUAAUAAUCAUUUCUCUUUAUCUUUUUAGAAAUACUCUUACACCACGCUGUUCCUUAAACCCUGAAAAUAUCACAUACACAUUGAUGGAAGAAAAAAUAAAAUGGAAAAGAUCAUGGUUCAAGAUAAAGACAGAGAGAUUGCUUACCAAUUACCGUCAUGCUAUCCACUCCCUGGUUCCUUGUAUGGGCAACCUGAAACAGGAUUAAUAGAUGUUCAGACUCAGAAUAUGUUUUCUGGACUAGCUGAUAUUCCCAGCUCCUUAGAGCCAUUAAAAGAGUGUUCACUGACUGAUGUGGUGAUGUUGGUCAAACCUGGCUCUAUAGAUGACACUUCAGCCUGAGCAGGUGAGGAAUCAGUCCAUGGAGCUGGCAGAUUAAUUCUCUUCAUGUUAGCAUCCACAAAUUAUGAUUGCUCUGUUUUGAGACACUGCUGUUGCUACACUGUGGCAGGCUUUCAGACAAACCUCAACAAUCCAUAAUAGUAGAGAAUUUAGUUCUGAUACGUGCCAGGAUGAAAACACCUAGAUUAGACUGGGAUUUCCUAAAGGAAAUUAAAUCACAGCUAUAUUAUUCUAUAAAAAGACAGUCCUUGUCCCUAAAGCAAAUUUCCAGCUCUUUGUCAUCUGCAUAAAGUUUAAAGGUUUAGAUUCUGCUGUGCUUUUGUUUUUUUGGGUUUUUUCUUUCACUAUCUUCAUAAUUGUUAAUAAGUAUUAGGUAAAUUUCUGUUCUAGAGUCUCUCCAAGAGACUUGAAAGAAAUAAACAAAGGGGAAAAAUGCAAGAUCCUCUCCUGAACUACAUGAAUAAACUAGGAGGCAGGAGCUACAGAUCACAAGUUGUCUGAAUCAGCUGCAACAUACAGAACAGAUGUACUCUGUAGGUAAGACUAUAAUGUUCUGUCAACGUGGUUAUGUUAGGAAAAAACUCCAUGGAUAUAAAAUUGCACUGCUUGACUGGUACAAGUUGGCAAAAUCUGUAUAAUGGAUAGAACCAUGCCAGCAAAAAAGUGUGUUUUCUCAGCUUAGCCUUUGACCUGACAAAGGUAAUGUGGCUUUGUGAGCAAAGCUCUCCUUUUGCCACAUAUAAAGUAUCUCUGCUGGAAAGUUCUUUCAGCAUGUGCGAAGAUAGCAUAUAGUGAGAAAAAUCUGUGUUGUAGAUAUGGGUAUGUUAAAUAGCUUACUAAUAAUCAUGUAGAGGACAUACACAGGGAGAAUGGAAAAAAUACAGAAUUCAUUAGGCACUGGAAAGAAAAUAUAAAACACUAAGAGAAGCCUUCCAGCUCCUCUAAGACUUGCCCCAUACUUAAUUUUGGGAUCUCUGGUAUCAUCCCCAGCACCUGUAAUUGUACAAUGAAAGAAAGCAAGAUAAACUUGCUAUUUCUCUCUGCUAUUUUUACUCUGUGAAAUAACAAGAUGACUUGAAUGCAGAGAAUUUCAUUGAAGUUAUUUCAAAAUUAAAGGUAUUCACUUGCUACCACACAGAAAUUAUACUAGAAUUCAUUUGCAGGGAUUUAAAUCUCUCAUUUUUAAGUUGGCAGUUAAAUCCAGCUCAAGUUGAAAGCAGCCAACAGCCAUCUGAUGACUGUUCAAUGCAUGGUGUAAAAUUACUUUAAUUCACUUUUGGACAAUACCUAAAUAAAAAUAUGCAUCUUCCCCAACUCAAUGAGUGACACUUUUACUGAUGGUAUCACCAUUAAAUCUUGUGUCCCCUUAGAUAGCUCCUCCAGCAAUUGGCCUUUUGCCUAGUGAAAUUAAGAAGCAUCAAAGUUAUAACAAUUCAGCUAUG